rnacentral:tRNA from 1 species
AAAGAUGAAGUAUUAUUAAGUUACAUCUCAGUUACAUUGAGAAGAUCCAUGAUUUUUGGCGUCUUUAU